AACCGAGAGCUUAGAAGCCAGCUGCCUGGGCUUUCUCCCUCCCAGUGCCUCUGGCUCAGCCUGGGGCUGCCUCCUGGCUUGCAGGCUCCCCCUCUAAGUCCCACUUUCAUUUCUAAAUAGACGGUAAAAUAAGCAAUUGAUUUUUGGAUAUUACAUAAGCUGGGUGAGGGAAACUUUAAUAAGGAAAAGAGCAGAGGGAGGGGUCUGAAGAUCUUAAACUCAAAACUACAAAAAGCCUACCAUUUCCAGCCCAAACGGAGACAGCUACAAACCUGCUGUGAUCAGAGAGAUGGUGCAGGUGGCCCCAGGCCCUUGGGAGAAGCCUGGCCCAGCCAGCCAGGGCUCUGUGAUGUCCCACUGGAGGCUAGGCCCAGGCAAGACUUCUGUCCCUCCUCCCGCUGUGGCUCCCAAGGUCGUCCAUUCUGUCCCCCUGGCCAUUCUGCACCUUCACAGUCACACCUUCAUUUGGUUCUCAAACCACCCUUGGAGGCAGACUGGGACUUCAGACAGUCAGGGACACACAGGACAUGAGGGUAGGAAGGCAUAACGGGGACUGCAGCUCAGGUGUCCCAGUGCCUGGGGCAGCGUCCAUUCCCUUGUUGUCAGGCCAGAUGAUGAAUGCAUAGUCCUUUGCAGGGUGUCUGUGAUCAGUACUAUUGAUGGUGCACACACUCUAGGCAAGGAAACUGAGCUUGGGAGAAGUGGCUCUCACUUGCCCAGGCCUUUGGACCCCUGGUUCAGUGUUCUUGAUUGUUCCAUGUUCUGUAUGGACCUGCCCAUCCAGCCCACGUCAGGUUGGGUGGGCUGUCCAGAACAGGUUAUAGAGGUGUGUGUGUAUGUGUGUAGGGUGGGGAAAGACAAGGAUUGUAGGCAUAAGUGGUGGUGGGGGGGUAACUGAAACUUGGCAGAGGGAGGGUGGAAGGUUUGUUAAGGGUCUCAUGGAUCCUGCUGUACACUGGCCUCCCUGGCUUGGGAGAUUCUCAUUAAGAACAUAUGGCCCUGAACAACCACAUGGGCACUGAUGUAACCUCUGCACCCCCUUCUCUUAGACACCCUGAGCUCCAGAGUCCAAAGAAUGCUGGCAGGCAGGCCUAGGAAUCCCACAUCUCCCCCAAAUCUGGAGUCCCAUGAACGGGAACCCCAGAGGGCUUCAAAGGCUGGAUGAGUGACCAUCCCUCUAUGGCCCAUUGCUGACCUGCGUCAAAGUCCUUGUCUGGAUUGGGUUUUGGAGCCAGCAUCUGAGAGGCAUCCCCACUGACCACAGCCAAGGGGACAUUCAUCCUGAAUCUGGUGGCACUGUGCUUUUCACAGUAGCUAAAUCCAUACCUAGAGUUUUAGAAUCUCUUUCAGAAAAGAUUGGAAAUGUGAGAAAACAAGAAAGACUUGGUAAUGUCCUUUUGCUGGGUUGUAGAGAUGCAGGACGGCCCUUGUCCAGCCGUUUACACUCACAGAGGAGAAGAAACAAGUGCAUAGGGAGGCUCUGUGAUAGGAGGCGAAUAAAUACCCCCAUGGGGGUACCAUUUUGCAUGGGUUCAGAGGUGGCAGCGGCCUCCUCUUGGUGUGGCCCUGAGGAGGGACAGUUGGUAUUUGAGCUGAACCCUGAACAAUGGGUAGGAAUUCCACAAAUGGCAGUGGGAGGGAAGGGUGUUCCAAGUGGCAGAAAUGGCACGAGCCAGAGCAGCAAGAUGAGAAAUUGUAUUGUAUUUGGGAACUGGCCAAGUAUUGAGUUAACUGAAGCAUGGAGUGUACAUAGGAGAGGGACGGUAGAGAAACCUUGGAUGGCGCCUGAGCCCAGUCAUGGAGGAUCUUGAAUGCCAAGCAAAGGAGUUUGCGCUUCACUGAACAAUCAGUGGGGAGCCUUUGAGCGGUUCUGACCUGGGGGUGCCAUGAUCAGCCUGGUGCUUGAGGAAGGUUAGUUUGGCAAGUUGCACAGGAUGUAUUUCAGCAGCCACCAGGUGAUUGCAGUGGGCUGGGCAGAGGGUGGAAGCCCAACCUGGAGGAACAGCCAUGUGAAGGGGUUCAGGGUGUGCACUGGGGAAUCUCAGAGAAGAGAAAGAUAUGGCUCCCGCCUGUAAGCCUAGCUGGGGAUAUAUAUAUGGAUAUAUAUAUAUAUAUAUAAUGAGAGAAAGGUAUAAGAGGAGGAUUUAAUGAGGUGCCAAAUUGUAUAUGGUCAAUACGUGUUUUGGGCUGAUGGAAAGGGAUGAAUCAACAGGGGUUGAAGCAGAAGGAACGGCUUUUUGGACCACGUGGGACCUGAGCUGAUUCCUGAAGACCAUGAGGCUGUGAGUAGGAGAAGAGGAGCAGAGAUAAGGGAACAGUGUGAGUGAGGGGUGCAUGACUCGACCCGGAAGGCGGGAACGAGGGCCAGACUGGGCUGAGCUGAUCAUGUUAUUUCUGAAUAAGGUGUACUAUUAAAUGCAGGGUUCCUGGAGCUCAGAGGCUGGGGUCAUUGGGAAGGCCCAGGGCAGGACCUGCAGCACCUGUUUCUUGGAAGACUCCAGAUCUCCAGGCCCUCCAGCCGGGACCUCCACGAUGUCUUAGGCAGGCCGGUCUUAUCUCUUCUGGCCAGGGUCUAGAGCUCUUACUCCAUCCUAAGGCUGGUCCCUUCCUUGGGAACCACAGCAGAGAGCACGGGGAAGGAAUGUGGGCCUGGAAGUCAGGUUUUGAUAAAGCAGCCUGGGUUGUAGGAGUCAAUGUCUGGUCCCCUCAUCAGGUCCUAGGUUUUUUGGGUGCUAAACGAGGAUCCUCAGAUUUCCGUGAGGACAGCUACUCUUUGGAACCCAUAGUGGGCAGCUGUCCCUGGCAUCCUGCUGUCCCUCCCACUCAGCCUUUGGCGGCCUCACCGGAGACUUCUCCUUUCAUGUCCCCUUUGCUUGUUUCUGCAGUGGGACGUUGUGGGGCGGAGACCAAGACUCACUUCACGGUUGCUCUGCAGGCCUGAUCCUGCAGUGCAGGCACAGGGGCCGGGAGAUGGAAACUGUCCCUGCUGGGUGCUAUCUCCCCCUCCGUCUUCCUCCGUCUUAGGCAAUGGGAGGCACUCCUGUUAACUCUCCACCUGCCUGUAGGGUUUAGGGGGUGGGCAGGCCCUCUCCAUCUCCUUGGCCUGGCUUAGGAAUCCGACACUAGAUUCAGGGCAGCUGUAGACGUGCAUAAAAGAUUCCAGUUUUGAUCCUAUGGUGGGGGUCAAAGCAGGCAAAGGGAUGAGAAAUAUUUAGGACCAGGCAGUCUGACCCUACAUCUCUCCCUCUUCUCCCAACCCUUGUAUUUAUUAAGUAACUGAAGGCUAAGUGGCUGGUCGGUGCAUCUUGGGUGGGAAACUUGAGUGACUAAAAUGGAAGCUGCAGCCUGAGAGGGGCGGAGCAGAGCAAUGUCACCAUUCCGCAUGCACAUCACAUGAUAAGUGGUACUGUACCGUGAGAGACCUCUGCCCUCCCAACCCACCUCCUGCGCAGCCCACCAAAGCGGGGGUCAUGGCACAACCGCUGGAGCUGGUUCUCGGGUGGGCUUCAGAUUCGGCACCGCUUUAGGAGGGGUCUUCCUCCCUCUGCCCAGGGGUUUGCUAAGGCUUUUACGCUGCCUCCAGCCCCCAGCUCAUUCUCAGGUGACUCAUGUGCUACUUACAGAACAGUCAAGUCUUGCCACUUGCUUCUUGUAAAGAGCUGGCGCUUGGACUCCGAUGCUGGGAUCAACUCCCGGGUCUGCACUUAGAAGCAGGGAUGGGGGCUUGUGGCUCCAGUCGUGGCUCCCCAGGGUGGGGGUAAAAGCCCCUGUGGGGUCAUCCCAGGGGCAGCGCUGUGAGGGGUGGGUCCCGGAGCAUAAAGCAUGAGGGCUCCCCCGCACCCAGGACUGAGGGCCUCCAGGGUGCAUCCUGGACACCAGCCCAGCAUUUCUGCAUUCCCUGCACAACCUGGGACAUGAAAGAGCACACACUCUGCCAACCCUCUGGCCCCUGGGCCUCUGAACUGAGGAAAUGGCUGAAUAAUUAAUGAGGCUGGAGCACUUCAGAGAGGGGGCCCCCGGGGACAGUGUGGGCAGAGGAAGGGGCAUGGACAAGUGAGGGCGGGGGACCUGGCAUGUGGAGAGAUGCCAGGAGUCCUGAUGAAGUCUGUGGCUGUGGCUUCCACUGCAGUUCACAGCUGUUGACUCACACGGAGGAAAGUGACCACGAGAGCUUGCAUACGGAUUGUGUUGCAAACCCUCAGCCUGUUGCACAUCUAACCUCCCAGUGGUGUCACUAUUGUCCCCCCACCUCAAGCUCCCUACCAAGAAAAGCUACCUGUGGACUUUUCAGAGGUAGUUCGUGGGACUGGAUUUAGGCUGGAUCCCGGGAACCCUUGCUAAGAUGAGGGCUACAGGACAGGAGACUUUCUGGGGCAUUUAGAGAAGGGCCAGACCAGCCAGGAGGGUGGUUGUGGUACAUGUGACUUCCAGCAGGUGCUGGACAAGGGUGGCUUGCAUGGCAGUUCCCAGAGGGGAUCAAGGGUCCUUAGAGGCAUCCCUGCCAGGUACUUGGUUGCUUCUGGUGAUGAGAUGCUCUCUUCUUUUGAGGCUGCAGCUCUAUUAUGUGGACAUCCAAGCAUGUGACCUGGGGACUUCCCAUCUCUUGUUUUGUCUGUCGACUCAACACUACCCUUACCCUUUCUGCAGGCCCCAAAGGGGCAGCAGCUCCCCAAACUCAGCCUGCAGAAAUAGGGUACGCACCUUUGUUGAGUGCUUGCCACGUGUCUGGUUCUUUCCUGACUGAGUCUACUGGAUAGUUCAGAUGUGUAAGCAGGAGUGCCUCCCCUUUAAAGAGAAAUAAACUGAGGCACAGAGACACUGAGUACUUGGUUCAAAUCACACCCCUAAUAGCGGGUGAGUUGGGGUCCAAAUGCAUGUGGCUGAGCUGGGAUUGGAACUUCAGGCCCUUUGCGUGUCAAUCUGGAACUGGAGGAGGCUCUCAUUCUUUUGCUGGGCGUUUUGAGGGCCUUUGAGUCGGGCUCACUGUUGGCGCAGCUUCUCAGGUGCUGCCCACUGCCCCAGCCGCCCAGCUCGCUCAAGCCCUUCUCAGCCUAAAGCAACUACUAGAGCAGCUGUCAGACUCGGGAGCCUGCCUGGGCCUGGAUCUCCUUCCCACGCUUCCUUUCCCCCUUCUUUGCAAAGCCUGGUUGAAGCAGGUGGAUGUCCUGUAUUUGCCGGGUGGAUGGGACCCACCUGUUACCCCCUUCUCCCUGGUCUUGCUGUGGGGCACUUGCCCAGGCUUUCUUUCUCUGCUAACACCCAAGCAUGCCACCAAAGCAAGUGGAGGACCCCUCCUUUAAGCUCAGCAUUGGCUUAUGCCCACCCUCUCUGCACAUCCUUCCGGCUCUGCAUCCCUUGGCUCUGAUUGGCUUAGGGCUUUCCUGUGCACCUCAGGUGCAUGCUUGUCCAGCACCAUGUAUGGUCUGAAGAAACUCAGGAGGGCUUCCUGGAGAAGGUGGUCUUGUAGUACUAGGCGGCAGUAGCUCACUCUGAAGUCCCUGCCGGGCACAGACACAGGGCCUGAAGGUGCCGGCUGUGGGGAGGAGGCACAGACGGAGGAAGGAGGGAAUGCUGCCGGAGCCUGGCCAGCCCAGGGUCGAUGGACAGAGUGUCCGCAGACCUCCCACGAACACUUUGCACAGAUUGUCGUGAACCGACACCAGCAGCACCCCAGCUGCUCCUCUCUUCCUAGCCCCAUCCUGGCUGGUUGGGCACAGAUUAAAUCAUUGGAUGGUCUUGACCCUGGCGUCUGGUGGAGGUUGGGAGGCUGCAGUGUGAGUUGCCUGCCAUGAAGCAUGGCAGGAACUUCAGCUUCAUCUGGCUGGCGGCCCCUCUGCCAGGGCAGUGGGCAGGAGCUGGUCAGGUGGUCCGCGCUGCACCACCCUCUGCUUCUUGUGGGGGGCGUCCAGUGCUCCCUGCAGAGGGCUCUGGGCACUGUAAGAACAGGCCGGUCUUGCAUUUUAACACAAAAACACUUUAUUGACCUUUAGCCAGCAAGGGAGGAAUUGAGGCCAAGGGCGCAUCCAUUCCUCCUGAGAGGGAGGCCUUCUUAGGGAACUCUGAAACCAGACUAGGAGGGGCUAGUGUGCGCCACCGUGGAGCCUCCUUCUGACUUGAGUGGGGCCGCAUUUCCUGUGUUUUGGGGACCCUGAAAGGCAGUUGCCAACUAUGACAGCACAGUGAGGGGCUGGCCUCUUAGGUGUACCCAGCCAGCGUCCUCCAGCCCGACCUGGAGCAGCAGCCCUUGGGUUCUCGGAGCAGGGCCCCAGGCUGUCUGCUCGGCCUUGGGGUUCUGCCCCAUGGGUGCCAGGUGGCUGCUCAGGGCCCUGGCGUCUGGCCGACCCUGCCCACUUGUGGGCAUGAGGAUGGGGCUGGUACUCCUUUCCCUGCCACCCCUUCGCUGGGGUGUCCUGCUGCUCCCAGAGCUGCUUCACGUCACCAAUGUGGCCUUGUGGGGCGUGCCCAGGCUUCAGGAGGAGGAGCCAGCAUCAGAGAUUCAGAACAUUAACUGCCACCAACUGCCAUCAGAAAUGGAGCGGGCGCUGCUGGCUGGAACCUUCUGAACGUCCAAUCGGAGAGACCACACCUGAUCUUGCAUCUGUCAAAGGAUUCCUUUGGAGACCUUCGAUGCUUCUACAGGAUAGAAGAAAGCUCUGGUGAAACAGGCCACAGGGCGACGCUGCGGAGGAGAUGAGUCGGACGCAUCUGGAAGAUUCUAGUCUUCAGCUCCGUGGUUUCUCAGAAGAGGUUGGGUUUACCCAGAACUGGGCCCUGUCUCCCACAAUUAAGAGUGGACGAGGGCUCGAGGGACAUUGUGAACUAUGGUCCUGACUUAUCCUUCCCUAUGAGGCCCUGGGCCUGGGCUGGCUCCGGCUCUGGCGUCAGAUCCUCUCCAGGCGAGGUGACCCUUGUGGGGUGGUCAGGGAAGCUGCGAGCUGCCCUGGGGAUCCAGGCCCGUCCUCCUUGGGAUCAGGAGAGCAUACCGCCUAUCUAGUGCUCAGUUCUCUAUCUUCUUGCUGCUCUGGUAUUUAUACCAUUCCUUUAGCAUCUUGACCCACUUAUCUGCUCGCCCAGUCUCCCGGAGUUUCUGCUAGAAAAUGAGAAAUGGUGGUGUUAGCCAAGCUGCCAGCUUUCCUGGAGUGGCACAGCGUUGAGUCAUGCUUAGGAGCCCCGAUGUGGGCGAACUCAGAGGAGCCAGAAAAGGCACAGACUGACUCACACAGACACCAGGGCUUCCAGCUGGGUCCCAGCCUCGAGGUGGGGUCUUGGCAGCCAGCGGGCAGUGACCCCUGAGCUGAGUGUGUGGUUCUGGGACAAGUGGAUUUGGUAAAACCUCCCCCAGGACAGCUUGGAGGUCGGGGGUGGCAGGAACCCCAGUCCCUGCACCCAUGGACCUCCUCCUGCCUGCACAGUGAGGACAAGCUCUUACCAUUACCGGCCCC